UAGGACUGCAGAGAUCAAAGUUAGAAGUAAAUGAGUACCACUGAAUAUCGAAAAAAAUACAGUAUGAAUACUAACUGCAUGGUUUGCAUAUGGCUAAGAUGUUCUGUGCCCAGCAUAUGCCCUCUGACUUAUUCAGGGGUAUUUUUGGCCCAUGACAUGAAAGAGACUGGCCAUCACUCUGGUAGAAUUUCCCCCUCCUUUUACAGAUGUGACCUAGAGAAGAUAAGGAAAUAUUAUGAAGCAUUCGUACUUCUGUACCUCCUAUAUGCAAUAUAUCUUCACUCAAUAAAUAUAGAAAAAAAGAAUAAAUA